rnacentral:rRNA from 1 species
GGCGAACGCUGGCGGCGUGCCUAAUACAUGCAAGUAGAACGCUGAAGGAGGAGCUUGCUUCUCUGGAUGAGUUGCGAACGGGUGAGUAACGCGUAGGUAACCUGCCUGGUAGCGGGGGAUAACUAUUGGAAACGAUAGCUAAUACCGCAUAAGAGUAGAUGUUGCAUGACAUUUGCUUAAAAGGUGCAAUUGCAUCACUACCAGAUGGACCUGCGUUGUAUUAGCUAGUUGGUGGGGUAACGGCUCACCAAGGCGACGAUACAUAGCCGACCUGAGAGGGUGAUCGGCCACACUGGGACUGAGACACGGCCCAGACUCCUACGGGAGGAAGCAGUAGGGAAUCUUCGGCAAUGGACGGAAGUCUGACCGAGCAACGCCGCGUGAGUGAAGAAGGUUUUCGGAUCGUAAAGCUCUGUUGUAAGAGAAGAACGAGUGUGAGAGUGGAAAGUUCACACUGUGACGGUAUCUUACCAGAAAGGGACGGCUAACUACGUG